rnacentral:rRNA from 1 species
GAUGAACGCUGGCGGCGUGCUUAACACAUGCAAGUCGAACGAAACACCUUAUUUGAUUUUCUUCGGAACUGAAGAUUUGGUGAUUGAGUGGCGGACGGGUGAGUAACGCGUGGGUAACCUGCCCUGUACAGGAGGAUAACAGUCAGAAAUGACUGCUAAUACCGCAUAAGACCACAGCACCGCAUGGUGCAGGGGUAAAAACUCCGGUGGUACAGGAUGGACCCGCGUCUGAUUAGCUGGUUGGUGAGGUAACGGCUCACCAAGGCGACGAUCAGUAGCCGGCUUGAGAGAGUGAACGGCCACAUUGGGACUGAGACACGGCCCAAACUCCUACGGGAGGCAGCAGUGGGGAAUAUUGCACAAUGGGGGAAACCCUGAUGCAGCGACGCCGCGUGAGUGAAGAAGUAUUUCGGUAUGUAAAGCUCUAUCAGCAGGGAAGAAAAUGACGGUACCUGACUAAGAAGCCCCGGCUAACUACGUG